UACGUAGGUGGCAAGCGUUGUCCGGAUUUAUUGGGGUUAAAGGGUGCGUAGGCGGCUUUAUAAGUCAGUGCUGAAAUAUCCCGGCUUAACCGGGAGGGUGGCAUUGAUACUGCAGAGCUUGAGUGAAGUCGAGGUAGGCGGAAUUGACGGUGUAGCGGUGAAAUGCUUAGAUAUCGUCAAGAACACCGAUAGUGAAGACAGCUUACUAGACCUCAAAUGACGCUGAGGCACGAAAGUGUGGGGAUCAAACAGG
rnacentral:rRNA from 1 species